UUCCAUAAUUAUUCGAUCCAACGGUUAUAGAAGUUUUGUAAUAAUGCAAUUCAGGUAUUUUAUAUUUUCUGGACUAAAGGAGGAUUUCAGUUCAACACCUGUGGUUUCUUAAUUUUUUUCCCACUUAGUUCCACUACUGCUGUGGAUUUUAUAGUCAAUGUUUAAAGCCAACAGAGUCUGAAGCGAUGGAGGAAAUUUACGUCAAUAUGGAACCUGUUGGAAAAACUGCAUCUAAUCACACAGGUUGGAGCAGCUCCAAAGAGAGGCUCUGCCUCCGUGCGGCUGUCUGUUUGGGAAUCCUGAAUGUUUUACUUUUGGCUGAACUCAUCGCCCUCAGCGUACACAGUGAGUCUUGUUUUAGUCAUCUUACAGAUGUAAAAAGACUAGAUUUUGUGUUUCUGUUAUAUAUAUAAAAAAAAAAAGUCAUUGUUCCCCUUCUA